CCUGGCGGCACUAGCGCGGUGGUCCCCCUGACCCCAUGCCGAACUCAGAAGUGAAACGCCGUAGCGCCGAUGGUAGUGUGGGGUCUCCCCAUGCGAGAGUAGGGAACUGCCAGGC
rnacentral:rRNA from 1 species